rnacentral:tRNA from 1 species
CGUAAAAUAGCUUAAGAUAAAGCAUUAAACUUUUAAUUUAAAAAUAGAAACCUUUCUUUUUGCGA